UACGAAGGGGGCAAGCGUUGUUCGGAAUUAUUGGGCGUAAAGGGAGCGUAGGCGGUUCGGCAAGUCUUUAGUGAAAUCUCUGGGCUCAACUCAGAGUCUGCUGGAGAAACUGCCGGGCUGGAGUAUGGGAGAGGUGAGUGGAAUUCCUGGUGUAGCAGUGAAAUGCGUAGAUAUCAGGAGGAACAUCGAUGGCGAAGGCAGCCCCUUGGACCUGUACUGACGCUCAUGCACGAAAGCGUGGGGAGCAAACAGG
rnacentral:rRNA from 1 species